UACGGAAGGCAGCAGUGGGGAAUAUUGCACAAUGGGCGAAAGCCUGAUGCAGCCAUGCCGCGUGUAUGAAGAAGGCCUUCGGGUUGUAAAGUACUUUCAGUCGUGAGGAAGGUGUUAAGGUUAAUAACCUUAGCAAUUGACGUUAGCGACAGAAGAAGCACCGGCUAACUCCGUGCCAGCAGCCGCGGUAAUACGGAGGGUGCGAGCGUUAAUCGGAAUUACUGGGCGUAAAGGGCACGCAGGCGGUUAAUUAAGUUGGAUGUGAAAUCCCCGGGCUUAACCUGGGAAUGGCAUUCAAGACUGGUUAGCUAGAGUCUUGUAGAGGGGGUAGAAUUCCAUGUGUAGCGGUGAAAUGCGUAGAGAUGUGGAGGAAUACCGGUGGCGAAGGCGGCCCCCGUGGACAAAGACUGACGCUCAUGUGCGAAAGCGUGGGGAGCAAACAGGGAUUAGAUACC
rnacentral:rRNA from 1 species